rnacentral:rRNA from 1 species
CAUAACGUAUAUUCAUGGCAUCAUGGAAAUACCAAAGGAGCAAUCCGCUGUAAGAUGGGCUCGCGUCCGAUUAGAUAGAUGGUGAGGUAACGGCCCACCAUGUCGACGAUCGGUAGCCGGACUGAGAGGUUGAACGGCCACAUUGGGACUGAGACACGGCCCAGACUCCUACGGGAGGCAGCAGUGAGGGAUAUUGCACAAUGGGCGAAAGCCUGAUGCAGCAACGCCGCGUGAGGGAUGACGGUUUUCGGAUUGUAAACCUCUGUCUUCGGUGAUGAUAAUGACAUUAGCCGAGGAGGAAGCCACGGCUAACUACGUGCCAGCAGCCGCGGUAAUACGUAGGUGGCAAGCGUUGUCCGGAUUUACUGGGUAUAAAGGGAGCGCAGGCGGGACAGCAAGUCAGCGGUGAAAUGUAUGGGCUUAACCCAUGAACUGCCGUUGAAACUGUUGUUCUUGAGUGAAGUAGAGGCAAGCGGAAUUCCGAGUGUAGCGGUGAAAUGCGUAGAUAUUCGGAGGAACACCAGUGGCGAAGGCGGCUUGCUGGGCUUUUACUGACGCUGAGGCUCGAAAGUGUGGGGAGCAAACAGGAUUAGAUACCCUGGUAGUCCACACUGUAAACGAUGAUUACUAGGUGUGGGGGGGUCUGACCCCUUCCGUGCCGCAGCUAACGCAAUAAGUAAUCCACCUGGGGAGUACGGCC